rfam:Trachymyrmex cornetzi contig30228, whole genome shotgun sequence.
GCCUCGGUAGUCUAAAGGCUUAGGACGUUCGCACGGUAUGGAAGAGAUCCGGGUUCGACUCCCGGCCGAGGUA